GGGUAUAGCUCAGUGGUGGAGUGCAUGCCUAGCAUGCAUGAGGUCCUGGGUUCAAUCCCCAGUCCCUCCG
rnacentral:tRNA from 1 species